rnacentral:lncRNA from 1 species
AGACGCACCACUUUGUUGAGCUGCAGAUGUGGUCGCCACACUAACUUUGCGCGUUGUAAUAACUGUGCGUUUUAUUCUUUCCAGUUGUUCACGUUUUCUACGAUGUACAAACACAUUUUAUGCAAAGUUUGUAAACAACUCGGAACCCAUAUGGACCUACAACACUACUGGGCUAGCACACAUACGCUGCCAGUGUUAUCUGAUGCGUUCCAUACAACCAAUGUUCAUUGAGUUCAACAGAACGCACUUGUAUCGUAACCAAGUCGUUCGCGUGGCACAACGGGGACAGUUUAGUACGGCGUUGGCAGAACGGAUGACUGUCAGUGAUGUGGGUGGGUUACAACUGUCUGUUGAAUAUUUAUUAUAUAAGGCUCCGGAUUCUUCGUGCGCCGUUAUUAAAGUGCGGUAUUCUUUCGGUCGUGUCCUCGACCAUCACGAUCUCCGUGUGAGACAUUCUUCAGUUGCAGCCGGCCCUCGCCUAAGGUGUAAAAGGUGGUUCUCUCAAGUCGCGCCUCACGGCAGAGUCAUCUAUCGUAGACAUUGUGAGAGCUUAUUUCGGCCACGAGAGUGAUUCCGUAUCAGCAUUCGUGCGAUCCAUCAUUUGCCUGUUAAAAUUCACUUGAAUGUGCUGGAACGGAUGACUAGUGUCAUAUAAACGUAAAGUGUCAUGCUUAUAAUAAAA